AUUGAACGCUGGCGGCAUGCCUUACACAUGCAAGUCGAACGGCAGCACGGGAGCAAUCCUGGUGGCGGAGUGGCGAACGGGUGAGUAAUAUAUCGGAACGUGCCCGGUCGUGGGGGAUAACGUAGCGAAAGCUACGCUAAUACCGCAUACGAUCUACGGAUGAAAGCAGGGGAUCGCAAGACCUCGCGCGAUUGGAGCGGCCGAUAUCAGAUUAGGUAGUUGGUGAGGUAAAGGCUCACCAAGCCGACGAUCUGUAGCUGGUCUGAGAGGACGACCAGCCACACUGGGACUGAGACACGGCCCAGACUCCUACGGGAGGCAGCAGUGGGGAAUUUUGGACAAUGGGCGCAAGCCUGAUCCAGCAAUGCCGCGUGCAGGAUGAAGGCCUUCGGGUUGUAAACUGCUUUUGUACGGAACGAAACGGUGAGCUCUAAUACAGUUUGCUAAUGACGGUACCGUAAGAAUAAGCACCGGCUAACUACGUG
rnacentral:rRNA from 1 species